UUAUUUUAUGCCGCCUUCAACGUUGUUUUCAGUGUCAAGAAAUCAAUUCUUGUCUCAAGUUUAAAUGUUCAUACCAAAAUCAUGGAAGCCACUCACUUGCCAAGUUGAUACACAAACCGUUCCUGGUGAUGCAUCUAUGAUUGGGCUCUCUUCAUGCAUCUCUCAGAGAGUUUGUAAGAUAGAAUAGUUAUCAAAUGCAUCUGGAGUAUUUUCUCAAAUCCAGAGCCAUGCGUCUUCUUUUGGUUCUUUUGACCUUAUAUUACAUCCCAUUAGCACUCUUCUUUUAUCUUGCAUCAACCUUAAAUCACUGCCACAGAGUAAGCAAGUUCAUGUCCAGAUUAUUUCACUUGGUUUUGAUUAACACCCCAUUAUGGUUCCUAGGCUCAUCACUUUUUAAUGCAAGUGUCGAUCUUCUCGCUGAUGCUCAAGUUGCUAUCGAAGCCACUAAUUUUUUGGACCCUUUACCUUGGAAUUUGCUCAUGUCGUCCAAUGUUAGAAAUGGACUUUUUCCAGAGGCUACUUCUGUCAGUAAGAAAAUGAUGAAUAAGCAGGUUAAACCAGGCAAUUUCACUUAUCCAUCUGUUCUCAAGGCUCGUGGUGAAGCGUUGGAUUGUGUUGCUGGCGUGGAGAUUCACAAGUCUAUUGAAACGAGCUCUCUGGUGUGGAGUUUGGUAGUGCACAAUGCAUUGGUCUCCAUGGAUGGUAGGUUUGGGAAAGUGGAGGCUGCCCGUGAUUUGUUUAAUCAUAUGCCUGCGGAUAGAGAUUCUGUUUCAUGAAAACACUAUGAUAGAUACUUAUGCCUUUAGGAAUAUGUAGGAGGAAGCAUUUCAGCUCUUUAAAAGCAUGUGCAAGGAGGGUGUUGAAUGGCUAUAAUCACACGGAGCACCAUUGCUGGGGCGUGCUUGUGAACAACCAAUUUCAGGAGUUCACUUCUUUUGAUUUCUAAAACGAGAAUAUCUAUUCAUCAUUUAGUGUGUGUUUGGAUCCACGAUUGGAUCUCGAAUAAGUGGCUUUUAGAGUGUUAAGCACGUUUGGGCUCUGGUUGUUGUUAAGGGCCAAAAGUUGUUUGAAUUUGGCUUUUUCAGAAGCUGCUCCCUUGCUUAUGCUUGUAGCUAAUAGUGCUUAUGAUGUUGGUAGGACUGUUAUAACAAUUAUUGGUGGCUUAGAAAAAUAUUAUUCUCUCUCCUCUUCCUCAUAUUUGUCUCGUGCUUCACGCACCUCCUCUGUCUUCGAGCUUGUCUUGUCGCCUUGUUAGAUCAAUCGCCAGUCGUGGUCGCCAUCAGCGGUUCAUGCUUUCCAUGGCCAGCUUGUGCUCGCCGUGGGAAAGUCGAGGUCAAUCUGUGCUCGCUGUUCUUCUACCCUUCUGGCUUCGUCAGCUCUGUUCUUAGCGUGUGGAAGUCGCAGUCGCUGUCUCCAACAAGUCUUUGGCAUCGCUAGUUCAUGCUCGUCGUUGUGUGUGGGUAGGUUGGCCUGAAAUCAUCUUUUCUUGUCAAAUCUCCUCCUCUUAGGUCGCAUGGGUCCCGGAUUUGGUGCAGGUAUUAACUGAAUACAUUCUUGUCUCUGUAAGUAGUGCAGUCACAGUCACAGUAGCAGGGGUGGUCGAGGAGGCUGUCUCCGUUUUGGAAACAUCAUACAAUGGCCAAUUGGAAUGCUGACUCACUGUGAAAUGAAGAUACAUUGACGAAUUGGAAUAAUGAUUCAUAGUGGAAGGG